AUGUGCGGGAAUCUGUCAUCUAUCUCUUCAAACUUCUGGUGGGGUGAAGCGAAUGGUCAAAAAAAGGCGCAUUGGAUCGCCUGGGAUAAGAUGUGCACGAGGAAACAUGAGGGGGGACUUGGCUUUCGCGAUCCUGAAGCGUUUAACCAAGCUAUGCUCGCCAAGCAAGCGUGGAGGAUACUUCAGGUACCGAACUCUUUGUGUGCAUGGGUCCUGAAGGCUCGGUAUUUUGUGGACGGGUCAAUCCUUAAUGCAACGUGUCCGGACGAAGGCUCUUUUACCUUCAGAAGCAUCAUCCAUGGCAGGAAC
rnacentral:rRNA from 1 species